UAGGGAAUCUUCCACAAUGGACGAAAGUCUGAUGGAGCAACGCCGCGUGAGUGAUGAAGGGUUUCGGCUCGUAAAACUCUGUUGUUGGAGAAGAACGGGUGUCAGAGUAACUGUUGACAUCGUGACGGUAUCCAACCAGAAAGCCACGGCUAACUACGUGCCAGCAGCCGCGGUAAUACGUAGGUGGCAAGCGUUGUCCGGAUUUAUUGGGCGUAAAGCGAGCGCAGGCGGUUUUUUAGGUCUGAUGUGAAAGCCUUCGGCUUAACCGGAGAAGUGCAUCGGAAACCGGGAGACUUGAGUGCAGAAGAGGACAGUGGAACUCCAUGUGUAGCGGUGAAAUGCGUAGAUAUAUGGAAGAACACCAGUGGCGAAGGCGGCUGUCUGGUCUGCAACUGACGCUGAGGCUCGAAAGCAUGGGUAGCGAACAGGAUUAGAUACCCUGGUAGUCCAUGCCGUAAACGAUGAGUGCUAAGUGUUGGAGGGUUUCCGCCCUUCAGUGCUGCAGCUAACGCAUUAAGCACUCCGCCUGGGGG
rnacentral:rRNA from 1 species